AGUGAACGCUGGCGGUAGGCCUAACACAUGCAAGUCGAACGGCAGCACAGUAAGAGCUUGCUCUUACGGGUGGCGAGUGGCGGACGGGUGAGGAAUACAUCGGAAUCUACUUUUUCGUGGGGGAUAACGUAGGGAAACUUACGCUAAUACCGCAUACGACCUACGGGUGAAAGCAGGGGAUCUUCGGACCUUGCGCGAUUGAAUGAGCCGAUGUCGGAUUAGCCAGUUGACGGGGUAAAGGCCCACCAAGGCGACGAUCCGUAGCUGGUCUGAGAGGAUGAUCAGCCACACUGGAACUGAGACACGGUCCAGACUCCUACGGGAGGCAGCAGUGGGGAAUAUUGGACAAUGGGCGCAAGCCUGAUCCAGCCAUACCGCGUGGGUGAAGAAGGCCUUCGGGUUGUAAAGCCCUUUUGUUGGGAAAGAAAAGCAGCAGGUUAAUACCCCGCUGUUCUGACGGUACCCAAAGAAUAAGCACCGGCUAACUUCGUG
rnacentral:rRNA from 1 species